AAUUCAAAAACUUAAAUUCAUCGGAUUUUGGCAAAGGAUUGUCGUAAAUUCAAAUGAGGUUGUCAGUGUCCACCAAUGAAUAUUACAAGAAGAUUUCUAACCCAUCAAUUCUAUUUUAAAAUCUCCAAAAUAAAAAUUUUUAAAUCUAAACCUUAAAAUUCAUAUUUUACAAACUUCUGUAAGAAAAACUCUCAAAUCAUCAUUAUUUAAAGUGCGAGUAAAUGAAAACUCAUCUCUUCCAAACUCUUUCUUCUAGAUUUAAGCCUUUGAAUCUAAGAUAGAGCUUUUUCAAGAGCUCUUACUCCGCUUCUCUAACUCCAACUCCAACUUUGGAUUGAAAAUUGAGCUGCCUAAGAGAAAAGAGAGACUAGCGAUAAAGGCUUUGGAGGAGAAACAAGCGGUGGGAAGGGAGAGGAAGAAGAAGGUGAAGGUGGAGAGGGAGCGGAGGGUGUUUUCUCUCUCGAGGGGGGAGAGAAAUGAGGAGAGACUAGAGAGAGAGAGAGAGAGGGGUAUUUAUAAGGAUUAAUUUUAUACAGAUUUCUGUAAAUAUAGUGAAUUAUAAAUAUAUUUCUAUAAAAUUCAACUUUUAUAUGUUGUUCCUAUAAAAGUCCUAAUAUGUUCAAAUAUGUCCCAAUGGCUUGUUACAAUUAAAACACUGUUUAUUUUAUAAGUGAAAUGACAUUUUUGCUAUCACAAAUAUAUCCGUCCAAAGGUCCCAACUGUUAAUUAGAGAGGGGGUAAAAAUAUCAAUUCACCUUAUUAACUAAUUAGGAUUAAAUAUUUUAUCUUUGAUUAACUAAUUUUUUCUAACGGAUUCUAACGGCAGUGACAUAUUUGAAAACAUCAGUAUUUUUGUAAGGAUAACAUAUAAAAGUUAAACUUAAUUUGUAGAGAUAUACUUAUAAUUUACUAUAUUUGU
rnacentral:lncRNA from 1 species